AGUGAACGCUGGCGGUAGGCCUAACACAUGCAAGUCGAACGGCAGCACAGUAAGAGCUUGCUCUUACGGGUGGCGGGUGGCGGACGGGUGAGGAAUACAUCGGAAUCUACUUUUUCGUGGGGGAUAACGUAGGGAAACUUACGCUAAUACCGCAUACGACCUACGGGUGAAAGCAGGGGAUCUUCGGACCUUGCGCGAUUGAAUGAGCCGAUGUCGGAUUAGCUAGUUGGCGGGGUAAAGGCCCACCAAGGCGACGAUCCGUAGCUGGUCUGAGAGGAUAAUCAGCCACACUGGAACUGAGACACGGUCCAGACUCCUACGGGAGGCAGCAGUGGGGAAUAUUGGACAAUGGGCGCAAGCCUGAUCCAGCCAUACCGCGUGGGUGAAGAAGGCCUUCGGGUUGUAAAGCCCUUUUGUUGGGAAAGAAAAGCAGCAGGUUAAUACCCCGCUGUUCUGACGGUACCCAAAGAAUAAGCACCGGCUAACUUCGUG
rnacentral:rRNA from 1 species